rnacentral:rRNA from 1 species
UGCCCCGCGAGGGAGCCCUAGCACAGGUGCUGCAUGGCCGUCGUCAGCUCGUGCCGUGAGGUGUUGGGUUAAGUCCCGCAACGAGCGCAACCCCCGCCGUUAGUUGCCAGCGGUUCGGCCGGGCACUCUAACGGGACUGCCCGCGAAAGCGGGAGGAAGGAGGGGACGACGUCUGGUCAGCAUGGCCCUUACGGCCUGGGCGACACACGUGCUACAAUGCCCACUACAAAGCGAGGCCACCCGGCAACGGGGAGCUAAUCGCAAAAAGGUGGGCCCAGUUCGGAUUGGGGUCUGCAACCCGACCCCAUGAAGCCGGAAUCGCUAGUAAUCGCGGAUCAGCCAUGCCGCGGUGAAUACGGUUCCCGGGCCUU